UGGGGAAUAUUGCACAAUGGGCGCAAGCCUGAUGCAGCCAUGCCGCGUGUAUGAAGAAGGCCUUCGGGUUGUAAAGUACUUUCAGUCGGGAGGAAGGUGGUAAGGUUAAUAACCUUGGCAAUUGACGUUACCGACAGAAGAAGCACCGGCUAACUCCGUGCCAGCAGCCGCGGUAAUACGGUGGGUGCAAGCGUUAAUCGGAAUUACUGGGCGUAAAGCGCACGCAGGCGGUUGAUUGAGUCAGAUGUGAAAUCCCCGGGCUUAACCCGGGAAUUGCAUCUGAUACUGGUCAGCUAGAGGCUUGUAGAGGGGGGUAGAAUUCCAUGUGUAGCGGUGAAAUGCGUAGAGAUGUGGAGGAAUACCGGUGGCGAAGGCGGCCCCCUGGACAAAGACUGACGCUCAGGUGCGAAAGCUUGGGGAGCAAACAGG
rnacentral:rRNA from 1 species